CGAAUGGCUUUGGGUUGGUAUGUUGCUCAUUAGUUUUAGGUUCUAUUCUAAAAUUGAAGUAGCAAUUUGCCUCCAAUCCUACCUUGA